rnacentral:rRNA from 1 species
GGAAUCACUGGGCGUAAAGCGUCUGUAGGUGGUUUAGUAAGUCUAUUGUUAAAUCUUGAGGCUCAACUUCAAAUCAGCGAUGGAAACUGCUAGACUAGAGUGUGGUAGAGGUAAGAGGAAUUUCCAGUGGAGCGGUGAAAUGCGUAGAUAUUGGAAAGAACACCGAUGGCGAAGGCAUCUUACUGGGCCAUAACUGACACUCAGAGACGAAAGCUAGGGUAGCAAAUGGGAUUAGAUACCCCAGUAGUCCUAGCAGUAAACGAUGGAUACUAGAUGUUGCCCGUAUCAACCCGUGCAGUGUCAAAGCUAACGCGUUAAGUAUCCCGCCUGGGAAGUAUGCACGCAAGUGUGUAACUCAAAGGAAUUGACGGGGGCCCGCACAAGCGGUGGAGCAUGUGGUUUAAUUUGAUGCAACGCGAAGAACCUUACCAGGGUUUGACAUGACAUGAAUUUUUCUGAGAAGAAAAAGUGCCUUUUAGGAACAUGUACACAGGUGGUGCAUGGCUGUCGUCAGCUCGUGUCGUGAGAUGUUGGGUUAAGUCCCGCAACGAGCGCAACCCUUGUUUUUAGUUAUUUUUCUAGAAAGACUGCCGGUUAAAAGCCGGAGGAAGGCGGGGACGACGUCAAGUCAGCAUGCCCCUUAUACCCUGGGCUACACACGUGCUACAUUGGGUAAGACAAUGAGUCGCGAGCCUGUGAAGGUCAGCAAAUCUAUAAACUUACUCUAAGUUCGGAUUGUAGGCUGCAACUCG